rnacentral:rRNA from 1 species
GAUGAACGCUGGCGGCGUGCCUAAUACAUGCAAGUCGAGCGAACAGACGAGGAGCUUGCUCCUCUGACGUUAGCGGCGGACGGGUGAGUAACACGUGGAUAACCUACCUAUAAGACUGGGAUAACUUCGGGAAACCGGAGCUAAUACCGGAUAAUAUAUUGAACCGCAUGGUUCAAUAGUGAAAGACGGUUUUGCUGUCACUUAUAGAUGGAUCCGCGCCGCAUUAGCUAGUUGGUAAGGUAACGGCUUACCAAGGCAACGAUGCGUAGCCGACCUGAGAGGGUGAUCGGCCACACUGGAACUGAGACACGGUCCAGACUCCUACGGGAGGCAGCAGUAGGGAAUCUUCCGCAAUGGGCGAAAGCCUGACGGAGCAACGCCGCGUGAGUGAUGAGGGUCUUCGGAUCGUAAAACUCUGCUAUUAGGGAAGAACAAAUGUGUAAGUAACUAUGCACGUCUUGACGGUACCUAAUCAGAAAGCCACGGCUAACUACGUG